CUAGCAGUGUUAGGGCACUAAGAAUUUUGAUUUCUUAAGAGAGGUUCAAUUCCUCCUGGU
rnacentral:tRNA from 1 species